UACGUAGGGGGCAAGCGUUGUCCGGAUUUAUUGGGCGUAAAGAGCGUGUAGGCGGCCAAGCAGGUCCGCUGUGAAAACUCGAGGCUCAACCUCGAGACGUCGGUGGAAACCGUUUGGCUAGAGUCCGGAAGAGGAGAGUGGAAUUCCUGGUGUAGCGGUGAAAUGCGCAGAUAUCAGGAGGAACACCGAUGGCGAAGGCAGGUCUCUGGGCCACUACUGACGCUGAGGAGCGAAAGCAUGGGGAGCGAACAGG
rnacentral:rRNA from 1 species